rnacentral:snRNA from 1 species
UUGCUCAGAGCACAUAUACUAAAAUUGGAACUAUAUAGAGAAUAGCAUGGCCCUGUGCAAGGAUGACAUGCAAAUAUAUUAUUAUAGUUAA